rnacentral:lncRNA from 1 species
ACAGCACCGCUUCUUCCUCAUCCAGGGCUACAGAUGCCCCCUGACUCUAGCCAAGAGAUCUUAUUAUUCUUAGUCUUAUUAUUCUUAUCUUCUCUUUUUAAACAGAGAGACAGACAGAGACAGACAAACAGGCAGAGCCGCAGUGCACACGGUCCGUGUGUCGGAGAGGCCGCCAGGAGACUCACCGCAGCAAUGCUACGUGAAUGCAGAGGGCUGGAGGUGAUGUGACUACUCACUUGCUCGGCUAACAGCUGCCGGUUUUGGAUGGAAUUAUUCCGCAACAACAAGAAAGCGUCGGUUAAACGCCUGGUGGCCAUGUCUCACCCUUUGCGACCCCCCUCUCAGGGGCCCCCCGCCCACUUAUAUUCCUGAUUUAUUCACUUUCUUUCUCGUGGCCCGGCUGGCCCACCCUUUCACGGAAGCUUCUCGACAAGGCCUCAGGCCUCAAGCCAAAAAGAUGCAGCUGUGCGCUUCGCCAAGGCGUAGAGACCCCUCCCCAAAUAACUACCUAGGCUUUCCAAUUGUCUGACUCCCCCUACCCAGGGCAGACUUCGAUCUCUAAGCACUUGAAUCCCCCCAAUCCUUGCGUAGCGAUCCAACGUCCCAGAGACCCCACCCCAAUCCAACCUUGGAUCUACAAGCGUCUAACUCGCCAAUCCGGCUCUAGACUGGGAGGCCCUGAAGCCCCCUACUCCCUGAGACCCCCCGGAGGUCUCUGCUCUCUACCCCUAACUUUGGCUCGUAAGCGUCUAGGCCGUGCCCUGAGGUCUGGCUGUGACUCAGUUUCCGCACCAGAGGCCUGGCCUAGGCCCUCUUUGGACAACCGGAGCCAGGCUUGGGGCCUGGACUCGAGGGCGCCUGCAGCUCCCUUCUGGGGACUUGUCUGAACCUGCUGAGGCCCUGCCCGACCUCCUGACCCCUUCCUUUCCUGGACGGCCUGGUCCUCCACUGCCAGCAGGCUGCCGGCCUGCAGGAAGACAGCAGGGCCUGCCUCCCCGGCCUUCUCACUCCUCUUCUCCGGCUCCCUCCAUCCCCGGAUCUGACUGCAGCUCAGCCCCGGACCGUUUCCGUGCUGUGGUCCCGGGUUCUGGCGUUCCCCCCUGGCCCUCUUCCUGUCCGUCCCUCGCGAGUGCCCCCCU